rnacentral:rRNA from 1 species
UAUGGUUUAUUAGAUCGUGCGUUCUACGUGGAUAACUGUGGUAAUUCUAGAGCUAAUACAUGCAACUGGCCCUAACUUUACGGAGGGGCGCUUUUAUUAGAUCAAAAUCAAUCAGGUUUCGGCCUGUUUUUGUGAUGACUCUGGAUAACUUUGUGCCGACCGCAUGGCCUUGCGCCGGCGGCGUAUCUUUCAAAUGUCUGCCCUAUCAACUUUCGAUGGUAGGUGACAUGCCUACCAUGGUUGUAACGGGUAACGGAGAAUCAGGGUUCGAUUCACGGAGAGGGAGCCUGAGAAACGGCUACCACA